AUUGAACGCUGGCGGCAGGCCUAACACAUGCCAGUCGAGCGGAUGAAGGGAGCUUGCUCCUGGAUUCAGCGGCGGACGGGUGAGUAAUGCCUAGGAAUCUGCCUGGUAGUGGGGGAUAACGUCCGGAAACGGGCGCUAAUACCGCAUACGUCCUGAGGGAGAAAGUGGGGGAUCUUCGGACCUCACGCUAUCAGAUGAGCCUAGGUCGGAUUAGCUAGUUGGUGGGGUAAAGGCCUACCAAGGCGACGAUCCGUAACUGGUCUGAGAGGAUGAUCAGUCACACUGGAACUGAGACACGGUCCAGACUCCUACGGGAGGCAGCAGUGGGGAAUAUUGGACAAUGGGCGAAAGCCUGAUCCAGCCAUGCCGCGUGUGUGAAGAAGGUCUUCGGAUUGUAAAGCACUUUAAGUUGGGAGGAAGGGAAGUAAGUUAAUACCUGGCUGUUUUGACGUUACCAACAGAAUAAGCACCGGCUAACUUCGUG
rnacentral:rRNA from 1 species